rnacentral:rRNA from 1 species
GAUGAACGCUGGCGGCGUGCUUAACACAUGCAAGUCGAACGAAGCACUUUAUUUGAUUUCCUUCGGGACUGAUUAUUUUGUGACUGAGUGGCGGACGGGUGAGUAACGCGUGGGUAACCUGCCUUGUACAGGGGGAUAACAGUUGGAAACGGCUGCUAAUACCGCAUAAGCGCACAGAGCUGCAUGGCUCGGUGUGAAAAACUCCGGUGGUAUGGGAUGGGCCCGCGUCUGAUUAGGCAGUUGGCGGGGUAACGGCCCACCAAACCGACGAUCAGUAGCCGGCCUGAGAGGGCGACCGGCCACAUUGGGACUGAGACACGGCCCAAACUCCUACGGGAGGCAGCAGUGGGGAAUAUUGCACAAUGGGGGAAACCCUGAUGCAGCGACGCCGCGUGAGCGAAGAAGUAUUUCGGUAUGUAAAGCUCUAUCAGCAGGGAAGAUAAUGACGGUA